rnacentral:rRNA from 1 species
AUGAACGCUGGCGGCGUGCCUAAUACAUGCAAGUCGAGCGAACAGACGAGGAGCUUGCUCCUCUGACGUUAGCGGCGGACGGGUGAGUAACACGUGGAUAACCUACCUAUAAGACUGGGAUAACUUCGGGAAACCGGAGCUAAUACCGGAUAAUAUAUUGAACCGCAUGGUUCAAUAGUGAAAGACGGUUUUGCUGUCACUUAUAGAUGGAUCCGCGCCGCAUUAGCUAGUUGGUAAGGUAACGGCUUACCAAGGCAACGAUGCGUAGCCGGCCUGAGAGGGUGAUCGGCCACACUGGAACUGAGACACGGUCCAGACUCCUACGGGAGGCAGCAGUAGGGAAUCUUCCGCAAUGGGCGAAAGCCUGACGGAGCAACGCCGCGUGAGUGAUGAAGGUCUUCGGAUCGUAAAACUCUGUUAUUAGGGAAGAACAAAUGUGUAAGUAACUAUGCACGUCUUGACGGUACCUAAUCAGAAAGCCACGGCUAACUACGUG